GAUGAACGCUCGCGGCAGGCUUAAUACAUGCAAGUCGAGGGGCAGCAGGACUGUAGCACUCCAGUUGCUGGCGACCGGCAAACGGGUGCGGAACACGUACGCAACCUACCCAAAACUGGGGGAUAGCCCGGGGAAACCCGGAUUAAUACCUCGUAACCUUUUUAAGUGGCAUCACUUGAUAAGUAUAGCUCCGGCGGUUUUGGAUGGGCGUGCGCCUGAUUAGGUAGUUGGUGCGGGUAACGGCCCACCAAGCCUGCGAUCAGUAACUGGUGUGAGAGCACGACCAGUCAAACGGGCACGGAGACACGGGCCCGACUCCUACGGGAGGCAGCAGUAAGGAAUAUGGGUCAAGGGACGCAAGUCUGAACCAGCCAUGCCGCGUGAAGGAUGAAGGUCCUCUGGAUUGUAAACUUCUUUUAUGGGGGACGAAACCCGGAUAUUCUUAUCCGAUUGACGGUACCUCAGGAAUAAGCACCGGCUAACUCCGUG
rnacentral:rRNA from 1 species